rnacentral:rRNA from 1 species
GAUUACUCCUACGGGAGGCAGCAGUGAGGAAUUCUUCCACAAUGGGCGAAAGCCUGAUGGAGCAACGCCGCGUGCAGGAUGAAGGCCUUCUGGGUCUAAACUGCUUUUAUUUGUGAAGAAUAUGACGGUAACAAAUGAAUAAGGGUCGGCUAACUACGUGCCAGCAGCCGCGGUCAUAAAU